CCGCGAUUCGCCCUUCGGGGUGCAGCAGGCGCGAAAACUUUACAAUGCUGGCAACAGCGAUAAGGGGACCUUGAGUGCCGGGAUACAAUCCUGGCUGUCGUGAUGCCUAAAAAGCAUUAUAUAGCAAGGGCCGGGCAAGACCGGUGCCAGCCGCCGCGGUAACACCGGCGGCUCGAGUGGUAACCGCUAUUAUUGGGUCUAAAGGGUCUGUAGCCGGCUUGGUUAGUCUCUUGGGAAAUCCGGCAGCUUAACUGUCGGGCUUUCAGGAGAUACUGCCAGGCUCGAGACCGGGAGAGGUGAGAGGUACUUCAUGGGUAGGGGUGAAAUCUUGUAAUCCUUGAAGGACCACCAGUGGCGAAGGCGUCUCACCAGAACGGAUCUAACGGCAAGGGACGAAAGCUAGGGGCACGAACCGGAUUAGAUACCCGGGUAGUCCUAGCCGUAAACGAUACUCGCUAGGUGUCGGCCACGGUGCGACCGUGGUCGGUGCCGUAUGGAAGCCGUGAAGCGAGCCACCUGGGAAGUACGGCCGCAAGGCUGAAACUUAAAGGAAUUGGCGGGGGAGCAC
rnacentral:rRNA from 1 species